GGUUUUCAUAUCAAGAUUUGGAUGACGAUUUUUGGCCUGUGAUGAUGGUUGAAUUCCACAUUUUGUGAAAUUUAGGUCAAAUUUUGAGAUUUUAGGUGUAGGACUGUGCCACUGUGCGUGACGAUUUGGCAGCUGCUCUCUCUCUCUCUUCGUAAAUCUAUGUUCCUUUCCAUCACUGCAAAUCUCCUCCCGUGAGUCUCAUAAUUCACCGGAUUUCUGCCAUUGUCGCCAGCGGAAUGAACAUAAUAAAAAGAAAAGAAAUUCUGAAAAACUGCAAGCACACUUCGAG
rnacentral:lncRNA from 1 species